GACGAACGCUGGCGGCGUGCUUAACACAUGCAAGUCGAACGGAAAGGCCCUGCUUUUGUGGGGUGCUCGAGUGGCGAACGGGUGAGUAACACGUGAGUAACCUGCCCUUGACUUUGGGAUAACUUCAGGAAACUGGGGCUAAUACCGGAUAGGAGCUCCUGCUGCAUGGUGGGGGUUGGAAAGUUUCGGCGGUUGGGGAGGGACUGGCGGCUUAUCAGCUUGUUGGUGGGGUAGUGGCUCACCAUGGCUUUGACGGGUAGCCGGCCUGAGAGGGUGACCGGCCACAUUGGGACUGAGAUACGGCCCAGACUCCUACGGGAGGCAGCAGUGGGGAAUAUUGCACAAUGGGCGGAAGCCUGAUGCAGCAACGCCGCGUGCGGGAUGACGGCCUUCGGGUUGUAAACCGCUUUCGCCUGUGACGAAGCGUGAGUGACGGUAAUGGGUAAAGAAGCACCGGCUAACUACGUG
rnacentral:rRNA from 1 species